UACGUAGGGUGCAGGCGUUAAUCGGAAUUACUGGGCGUAAAGCGUGCGCAGGCGGUUUGUUAAGUCUGUUGUGAAAUCCCCGAGCUCAACUUGGGAAUUGCAAUGGAUACUGGCAGGCUGGAGUAUGGUAGAGGAAGGUGGAAUUCCCGGUGUAGCAGUGAAAUGCGUAGAGAUCGGGAGGAACACCAGUGGCGAAGGCGGCCUUCUGGACCAAUACUGACGCUCAUGCACGAAAGCGUGGGGAGCAAACAGG
rnacentral:rRNA from 1 species